UUUUUCCUCUUUUAUUUUAUAAUUUAACCUUGAAUUUUUCCAUAAGGCAUUUAGCAGAAAAAGCAUAUCUGAAAGUUAAUAUUGCCUCUGAUUUUUCUGUAUGCUUGUAAUUUCUGAAAGAUGUACAAGUUUGUAGGAAGAAGCUACAACAUUUGAUAGGGAAGCUGUUCCAUUUGUAGUUCUUUCUUGAUUUAUGGUGACUGCUGCCAAUAGUGAGCACCUAGGUAGGUUUUGAAGGCCAGAAACCAUGCAGCCAUGAGAGUCCUGAACUGGAUUAUGCCUGGUAUUUCAGGUGGCCGCUUCAGCAACUGUGGAUGUCCUCCUUGAUGUUGCACAUCUGCUUGCCUAAGAACGAUGUUUCUCUUUCUCAUUUAUUUUGUUUAAAAUGUUAAGCCUGUUCUUCUAUGUUAUUUGAGAGUUGGCAUAAGACAGAAAGGGGUCCUGUGAAUAGCUGUUUCUAUAGUAGUUUGGUUUAGCAAAUUUUUGGUGAGGCAGCCCACUUAAACGCACUGUUUGGACCAAGUUUUGAGUGGGAGAGAGAGAAGUAGAAAGAGAAACCAGAAUAGAUAUGGCAAGAAAGAGAAGAAAUCUAUGACCAUGCCAUUUACAUGGAUUCCCCUGUUCACACAUUUUUUGUUGGAAAAUCUUGGCAAGAAGUGAUUUAAUUUUGCCGAAAAUCUUGGGAAGAAAUGAAGAACUGAUGGAUCGUUUACCCACCACUAACAACUGCCAGUUAUAAAAGCAAAAAGAGAGAAAAAGAGCAAGUGGAUUAAAAUCAUAGAGCAUGUCCUUCAAUUUGUUUGGUAUGAGAUUUUAUGUGAAAUUGUACAGUUGAGACUCAACUUGAGAGAGAGAACUAGAGGAGACAGAAAGUAGGGUUCAAUAAGAGGAGAGGAGGGAAAUCAAGGGGCUUACCUGCAUUUCCUUUGGCACAUAGGUGGCUUCUUUACCACGAUUGCAUGCUUUGGAAGUAUUAUGUGGCCACUCUCCAUUCCAGUUUAUCAAGAGCAAAAGAAGGGUGCUUUGCUGAUGGCAGCUGUCAUCUUUGCAAGGGAUUCACUUGGUCCUCUGUUUGAUUUAGCCAAUGUGGUAUACCCAAGGUGUGGCCCAUUUAUCAUUUAAUCUUCUUUUACCUGCUACUUGUGAUUAUCUGGCCUCAACAUCUUCCUGUAGCUACACUCUGCUUCUGCAAUCUUGGGGGGCUCUACAGCCAUAUAUAUAUAUUAUGUGAUCAAGUUUUCUGUUUUAUUGAAUUAAGUCGUGACCAGCAGUUCUCUUAACUCAAUUUUUCUUGAUUCCUUUUUAGUUUUACUUUGGGCUUCUGUUGUUUUUAGGCUUCAUCAUUGUGGACACUCAAGAUAUAGCACAUUUUGGUGAUUUGGAAUUUUGGACUAUGUGAAGCACACAAUACUUCUUUUUUUUACUGAUUUUAUUAUUGCUUUUGUCCGAAUUCUUGUUAUAAUGGUGAGCUAAGCUACAAUUAAGUCUCCAUCCCAUUGUAAAAUUUUUCAAUGUUAAUAAGUAAUUUUAUUUUCUGCCAAUGUAUCUAUAUGUGGUACUUACAUGACUCUAUUUGUUGUGUGGUUGAAGAAUUAUGUCAAGAAGGGUGAGAAGAAGAAGAAGAAAAGGAAGGAUUGAAUAUCUGAGGACCAACAGCUGGAAGACUGAUGCUUCUUGAAACCUGUCUUGCUAAUCUGAAAUCUUGUCCAUAAAAUUUCUUUUUUCCUAACUGAAGCAAAUUACUGUGAUACUUUGGAAUAUGUACUUAUGGGUUAGUUGUGUUGGUAUGUGUUUUUUUGGCUGCUGAAAUUUGUUUGGAAUUCCAUUUAAGAUCAUGACAUUGUUUCAGCUUUCUAUCUAUGUACGCUCUACUUGUGGCCUUGUAUAUUGAUGGUUUAAAUGGUGGCUAGACACCAUAGGAUUCAUGUCUGACCUGAACUUCCUGUGUUCUCUUUUACCAAGUCUUUCUGCAGACUUCAAUUUGCCUCUUGGAUUCAAGCACUUUUGCCCACAAUUGCAUAUUCCCAUUAUGAAUGGCAGUGAGCAUGGGAUAAACCUAUAUUGGACUGUGUGGAUCAUAUAAUAGAGAAAAUUAAUGUUCAUGCUCAUACAGAGGGAAAGCUACAGGUUGAAUUAGCAGCUCUAAUGUAUAUGGAAACAAGACUUGCCCGUGAACAUCAGAACAUUGCCCAGAUGGAUGCUACACUUUUGGAGCAGUUGGAGAAACUGAAGUUGUAAAUGCCCAAGGGUUAGUACAUUACCAAAAUUUGAAAUGAAACAUUUUGUUAUUGGUAAUAACUUAUGCACUCGGUGGAUCUUGAAUCCAUGGCCUCAGCCUUCCCCUUGCUUUUGGAAGGGAAAUAGGUGCAAUGUGAGCUAGAGCUCAUUGGUGAAAUAUGUAGUGAAACAAUGUUGAGUAUUCAUGAUUGGAAUGUGGUUUGAAGACAAAAUUUUCCAAGAUGUUACAUGCACUAGUAUCUACUUAAUGGUCCUUCAAAUAGCCUUUUAUUAUAAUUAUUUUUACUUUGCAUCAGAAUUCUGAGAAUAAUCUUUGGAAACUUUUUAGUUAUAGUUGCUUCAACAAGACAGUAAACAAGUUGUGUUCAAAAUAUUGCAAAAGAAGUAAUAUUUUUAGUGUUAAAGAAGAGACCUUAUAACUCUUGAGGUUGGAAAGGUCCUGUCUUGACAAAAUUUAGCCUUAACUGAGGCCAAGUGGUGUGUAGGGGACAGAAGAUCCAUCUUAAUUGAUCACCCUAUCCGAUUUAAGAUGAGGGAGGGUUUGGAUGGUAUUGUUUCUAGGUAUAGUCUAUGGUUGAUCUGAUUGAUCAUGAAAGAUGUUGGAAGUACUCACUUGUUAAAAGGUUUUACCAUCCUUUAGUGGCAUAUUAGAUCCUAAGGUUUUCCUUGCCUAAAGAAAACUUUAAUGAUAAAGUAGUAUAGCCUCAAUUGCAGGCAGGAGUUUAUACAGUUAAGAAAGGAUAUUAUUUGGAAAAAGCUUCAAGCGUGGAAGAUUGUGCAGAAUCUGCAUCUUCUACAGAUUUGAAGCUCUUCUGGUCAAGAUUUUGUGAACUGGGAUUCCUUAGUGUUUAGGGUUCAUGUGGAAACGGUACAAAAUGCUCUACCUGUUAAAACUGAACUGCAUAAAAGGAAAUUUAUAUCUUCAGCUUAUUGUGUGUUUUGUGGAGAGAAUCAAGAAACCGUGAGUCAUUUUUAUUUUUCUUUUUCUCUUGUUCAAUUGCUAGAGCAAUGUGGUUUGCUUAAGCUUGUUGCAUCAAGGGUGAUUUAUUGCAAAAUAUAACCUUUUUGGAUACAAUGGAUUGGCAACGGUUGUGGCUUACUUCAACAAUGGGAUGUUCUGGCCUCUGUACUGAAUUGCAUAGGGGACCAUGUUCUGCUGGGCUCUCUUUGUUCUUGCUUGUGAUUGGUAAUCACUAAUCAAACUCCUUAACCUCUCUCUAUUUAAAUCUAGACUCUCUUUUUUUUUUGGUUUACUUGUGUUUCAGUAUCACCCAACUUACUUGGUGUGUUGUUUAAAAGUUCCUUAUCUGAUAAUGUAUACUUAAUUGAUAUGAUUUUGUAGGCUUUGCUAACUCUUUUGCAUUGCAAGUUUUCAGGCCGUAUAUGUCUUUAUCACUUUGU